GGGUUGUGAGGUUAAGCGACUAAGCGUACACGGUGGAUGCCCUGGCAGUCAGAGGCGAUGAAGGACGUGCUAAUCUGCGAUAAGCGUCGGUGAGGUGAUAUGAACCGUUAUAACCGGCGAUUUCCGAAUGGGGAAACCCAGUGUGUUUCGACACACUAUCAUUAACUGAAUCCAUAGGUUAAUGAGGCGAACCGGGGGAACUGAAACAUCUAAGUACCCCGAGGAAAAGAAAUCAACCGAGAUUCCCCCAGUAGCGGCGAGCGAACGGGGAGGAGCCCAGAGCCUGAAUCAGUGUGUGUGUUAGUGGAAGCGUCUGGAAAGGCGCGCGAUACAGGGUGACAGCCCCGUACACAAAAAUGCACAUACUGUGAGCUCGAUGAGUAGGGCGGGACACGUGGUAUCCUGUCUGAAUAUGGGGGGACCAUCCUCCAAGGCUAAAUACUCCUGACUGACCGAUAGUGAACCAGUACCGUGAGGGAAAGGCGAAAAGAACCCCGGCGAGGGGAGUGAAAAAGAACCUGAAACCGUGUACGUACAAGCAGUGGGAGCCUCUUAAUGGGGUGACUGCGUACCUUUUGUAUAAUGGGUCAGCGACUUAUAUUCUGUAGCAAGGUUAACCGAAUAGGGGAGCCGAAGGGAAACCGAGUCUUAACUGGGCGUUAAGUUGCAGGGUAUAGACCCGAAACCCGGUGAUCUAGCCAUGGGCAGGUUGAAGGUUGGGUAACACUAACUGGAGGACCGAACCGACUAAUGUUGAAAAAUUAGCGGAUGACUUGUGGCUGGGGGUGAAAGGCCAAUCAAACCGGGAGAUAGCUGGUUCUCCCCGAAAGCUAUUUAGGUAGCGCCUCGUGAAUUCAUCUCCGGGGGUAGAGCACUGUUUCGGCAAGGGGGUCAUCCCGACUUACCAACCCGAUGCAAACUGCGAAUACCGGAGAAUGUUAUCACGGGAGACACACGGCGGGUGCUAACGUCCGUCGUGAAGAGGGAAACAACCCAGACCGCCAGCUAAGGUCCCAAAGUCAUGGUUAAGUGGGAAACGAUGUGGGAAGGCCCAGACAGCCAGGAUGUUGGCUUAGAAGCAGCCAUCAUUUAAAGAAAGCGUAAUAGCUCACUGGUCGAGUCGGCCUGCGCGGAAGAUGUAACGGGGCUAAACCAUGCACCGAAGCUGCGGCAGCGACACUAUGUGUUGUUGGGUAGGGGAGCGUUCUGUAAGCCUGUGAAGGUGKMCUGUGAGGKWUGCUGGAGGUAUCAGAAGUGCGAAUGCUGACAUAAGUAACGAUAAAGCGGGUGAAAAGCCCGCUCGCCGGAAGACCAAGGGUUCCUGUCCAACGUUAAUCGGGGCAGGGUGAGUCGACCCCUAAGGCGAGGCCGAAAGGCGUAGUCGAUGGGAAACAGGUUAAUAUUCCUGUACUUGGUGUUACUGCGAAGGGGGGACGGAGAAGGCUAUGUUGGCCGGGCGACGGUUGUCCCGGUUUAAGCGUGUAGGCUGGUUUUCCAGGCAAAUCCGGAAAAUCAAGGCUGAGGCGUGAUGACGAGGCACUACGGUGCUGAAGCGACAAAUGCCCUGCUUCCAGGAAAAGCCUCUAAGCAUCAGGUAACAUCAAAUCGUACCCCAAACCGACACAGGUGGUCAGGUAGAGAAUACCAAGGCGCUUGAGAGAACUCGGGUGAAGGAACUAGGCAAAAUGGUGCCGUAACUUCGGGAGAAGGCACGCUGAUAUGUAGGUGAAGCGACUUGCUCGUGGAGCUGAAAUCAGUCGAAGAUACCAGCUGGCUGCAACUGUUUAUUAAAAACACAGCACUGUGCAAACACGAAAGUGGACGUAUACGGUGUGACGCCUGCCCGGUGCCGGAAGGUUAAUUGAUGGGGUUAGCGGUAACGCGAAGCUCUUGAUCGAAGCCCCGGUAAACGGCGGCCGUAACUAUAACGGUCCUAAGGUAGCGAAAUUCCUUGUCGGGUAAGUUCCGACCUGCACGAAUGGCGUAAUGAUGGCCAGGCUGUCUCCACCCGAGACUCAGUGAAAUUGAACUCGCUGUGAAGAUGCAGUGUACCCGCGGCAAGACGGAAAGACCCCGUGAACCUUUACUAUAGCUUGACACUGAACAUUGAGCCUUGAUGUGUAGGAUAGGUGGGAGGCUUUGAAGUGUGGACGCCAGUCUGCAUGGAGCCGACCUUGAAAUACCACCCUUUAAUGUUUGAUGUUCUAACGUGGGCCCCUUACCGGGGUUGCGGACAGUGUCUGGUGGGUAGUUUGACUGGGGCGGUCUCCUCCUAAAGAGUAACGGAGGAGCACGAAGGUUGGCUAAUCCUGGUCGGACAUCAGGAGGUUAGUGCAAUGGCAUAAGCCAGCUUGACUGCGAGCGUGACGGCGCGAGCAGGUGCGAAAGCAGGUCAUAGUGAUCCGGUGGUUCUGAAUGGAAGGGCCAUCGCUCAACGGAUAAAAGGUACUCCGGGGAUAACAGGCUGAUACCGCCCAAGAGUUCAUAUCGACGGCGGUGUUUGGCACCUCGAUGUCGGCUCAUCACAUCCUGGGGCUGAAGUAGGUCCCAAGGGUAUGGCUGUUCGCCAUUUAAAGUGGUACGCGAGCUGGGUUUAGAACGUCGUGAGACAGUUCGGUCCCUAUCUGCCGUGGGCGCUGGAGAACUGAGGGGGGCUGCUCCUAGUACGAGAGGACCGGAGUGGACGCAUCACUGGUGUUCGGGUUGUCAUGCCAAUGGCACUGCCCGGUAGCUAAAUGCGGAAGAGAUAAGUGCUGAAAGCAUCUAAGCACGAAACUUGCCCCGAGAUGAGUUCUCCCUGACUCCUUGAGAGUCCUGAAGGAACGUUGAAGACGACGACGUUGAUAGGCCGGGUGUGUAAGCGCAGCGAUGCGUUGAGCUAACCGGUACUAAUGAACCGUGAGGCUUAACCUUACAACGCCGAAG
rnacentral:rRNA from 1 species